CUCGGACGCGAAGCUUAUAAGCUACCUUUCAGUUUUGAGUGAGGGUAGGCUUCCAGAAUCCUAGUGUCCAAGAUCACACCCCUUCUAGCCUUCGAGCCUGCUAGAAGAGGCCCAGUUGGUACGGUAAUACUUAUUCACCAAGCUGGUCAUCGACGAGAGUGAGGAUAUCCUAGACGGAGCAAGAAUGGGCAGAGGCUGAAGAAUCUACUAUGAAGUUUACUUUUCAAGCACAGAAAAUUCAGUCUACAUAGCCUCUUUUACAAGGCAGCAUUUUUUUUUAACCUUAAAAUAGAGAAAAAUGAAAAGUGGACAAGAAAACUUUGGAUAUAAGAUGCAUUGGCUCCUAGUGUCCAGAAAGACAUGCACGGAAAGAACGCAGAGUUAGCUAAAGAAAUACCACAGUUUAUUGAAGACUACAAAUAUUUUUGUUACAAGUUGGAACUACAUGCCUUCCAGAAAUCAAAAGCAAC